rnacentral:rRNA from 1 species
UACGUAGGGUGCGAGCGUUGUCCGGAAUUAUUGGGCGUAAAGAGCUCGUAGGCGGUUUGUUGCGUCGGCCGUGAAAACCUGCAGCUUAACUGUGGGCCUGCGGCCGAUACGGGCAGACUAGAGUUCGGCAGGGGAGACUGGAAUUCCUGGUGUAGCGGUGAAAUGCGCAGAUAUCAGGAGGAACACCGGUGGCGAAGGCGGGUCUCUGGGCCGAUACUGACGCUGAGGAGCGAAAGCGUGGGGAGCGAACAGG